UAUAGUGGAGUAGAUGUAUUUAGAACCAAAACAUGUAAAUACUCAAGUACAGUACAAGUAACUCAAAACUGAGCCUGUAGUACUUUGUUAACCGGCGUUCUGCAUGUUCCCAGGUUGGGUCACUGUUGUUUUAACAUUGUCUUUUCAGAACUGGUGUAUGAAGAGAAGAUCUCAGUCCAUCUACUUGCAGCUGCUAACUGACAAACAUGCACCAGAGCACUACAGAGUGAUCGGCAGUGUUUCCCAGUUUGAUGAGUUUGCCCGCGUUUUCCAUUGUCCGAAGAGCUCCCCGAUGAAUCCUGUGGACAAAUGCUCCGUGUGGUGACCUCUCCGCCCGCAUGUUGACCUUGGAAUGAAUGUCUUCACAGCCCCGAUCCUCACACACACACAACCGGUCCAACGUCACGAAUUCAUCAGAGCCAUCAGGAUGGAACAGCGUGCAGAAAGCCUACACUUGCCUAUAAAGGAUACAAGAAGGAUUGUUUCAACAUUAUCACAGUUUCAGUUCGGGCGUUCACACAACAGUCCAUCGUCUGUACUAACCAGUCACCCUCGAUCAUACACAAAUAUAUCAUUUGAUGCUAUAUAUUUUUCUAUGUUUAAACUUACUUUAAAAUCAUCUAUUUUUCUACUUUAUCAAGUAUACCAUGUACAUUAUGCAUAGAAUUCAUAUUUGGUUUUUAAUUAAACGUCAUGUUUCUCCGAUUCUUUCUCUUCCCUGUAGCCUCAACUAGAGAAAAUUCAAGGCUGGCAGUCACAGCGAUUUGGGUCCCUGCUGUACACUGGAAAAGGACCAGUUUAAAAUGAACUGAGAUCAGUAGCAUCCUCGUGCCUGCCAAAAUGCUGUAAGUGUUCUUUCAGUUUGGAGUUCGAUUUUUCUCGCGCUGCUGCGCUCUUGUGGCCGCAGAGAGCAAUGGUCACUGAUCAAAUGUCACGGCUGUCGAAUCGUUUGCCUGCAUUGGUCUCUUGUUACUGUGAGUGUUUGUACGGUUUUUAAGAUUUGUCAAGUUUUGCUUUUUUUGUAGAAAAGAAAGUGGACUUAAGGUGGAUGUUUUUCUCAGGAUUUGUAGCAAAGUUUAGCGGAGGAUCUUUCGUCUCUAAGUACAUUCAACUCUUCAGCUUACAGUUCGAUCGCAAAGGACCCGGUAUAUUUGUCAAACAGUGGAUGAAAAAAUACGAAUGUUUUUCCUCACUGGAAUCCGCAGAGCCGAGAGCUGAUUUAAGGACCCUUUCUAUCGGAUUAUUCACAUCUCUGUUUCCUGAUGAACUCCGAAUGAUCUUACACGACACAGGAAUCAAGAAACAAGGAGGGCAUGAGGUCACGUUACACAGUAUAUUCACAGUUAACUCAACAAAUAACAAGCCAACACUCUGUACAUAAGAAAGUGCAACAAUGAUAGAUGGAGAGUCAUACGUUUGUAUGCAGUGUUAUUUAAAAAAAAUACUUUUCUAUAAAAAUCUGUUAGUACAAAAAACUAUGAAUCUUUGUACAGUGAUGUAAAUCAGAUGUUAUGGCUGUACAGUUUGUUUUGAUGAGAGUGCAUGUUUCCCUCCUGACCAUCAUUGAAUUCGAAUCAAUACAGAUGAGGGACAUCUCACACACACACACACACACACACACACACUCACACUCACAACUGACUCUAUAGCUGCUAUUUCACACAUGGCUGCUAUCUCUUUCCCUCUGUUGGUCAUCGUUUUAAUGUUUGAAUAAAUACAAAGGAUCACUGUG